CGGGCCGUUACCUCCCGCGCAUGCUCUAUGGGGUAGAGACGCUAGGCCGGCACUGCCUAGGUGGGCCGGGCGGUGCGAGGGUCGCCUUUCAGCCUUUACCUCUACCCACUGAAAUGGAGUAGGUCGGUGAGCGCCGAUCUGCUGGAGAAUCUCAUUAUCCCAUCGGCGCUCUGCCUGCUCCUGGCCUCCAAGCCUCUGAAGCCCCUCGGGUUUCAGCUGCCGGCUACCCUCGAGCCCGUGGUGCCCACGAGAGAGGCGACUUUACGUCAGCGGCCCUGGGCUGAGAUUUGAGAACGCGACCAAGUGGAGAAUGUUGGAGCCAGAUUUUAAAAUCCUUGUCUUCCUUCUGCGUGCUACUUGAUCUAAAUGAGAUACGGCAAAGUCACAGAACCUGUUUUUAUGUUUUUGCCUGAUUCAUACGGGCUUCUCCGGUGAAGAUGGGCCUGAAGUAACGCUUGGGUUGCUUCUGACGUUAUAACUCAUCCUGUAGCUGCAGCAACCGUGGUCCUUGCAACCUCAUAAAAAUGUUGCCAGCAUUGUUUCGAUAGUGCUGCUUAAUUCUUGGAAGGUUCUUCGGACUUCACACAUUCCAGCAGUAGCUCUCUCAGCUCCUGUCCUGCACAGCUUUGAAGUGCUGGUGAUGUCAUUGAACUCUUAAGUGCAAGAUGAAACAAGUCUUUCUGGGGUUCUAAGUAGCGUCUUCAAAGUGUCUUCUGUAAAGACUUCUUCAGACUGUCAAUAGGAAGACUGAUAAACUCAGAUGCGAGAGGAAAUCGAGUCAUCAUCAAUGGC
rnacentral:lncRNA from 10 species